UACGUAGGUGGCAAGCGUUGUCCGGAUUUACUGGGCGUAAAGAGCGCGCAGGCGGUCGUGCAAGUCGCGUGUGAAAGCCCCCGGCUCAACUGGGGAGGGUCACGCGAUACUGCUCGACUUGAAGGCAGGAGAGGGAAGUGGAAUUCCCGGUGUAGAGGUGAAAUUCGUAGAUAUUCGGAGGAACACCAGUGGCGAAGGCGGAGACCUGGGCCGAUACUGACGCUGAGAUGCGAAAGCGUGGGGAGCAAACAGG
rnacentral:rRNA from 1 species